rnacentral:rRNA from 1 species
AGUGAACGCUGGCGGUAGGCCUAACACAUGCAAGUCGAACGGCAGCACAGGAGAGCUUGCUCUCUGGGUGGCGAGUGGCGGACGGGUGAGGAAUACACCGGAAUCUACUUUUUCGUGGGGGAUAACGUAGGGAAACUUACGCUAAUACCGCAUACGACCUACGGGUGAAAGCAGGGGAUCUUCGGACCUUGCGCGAUUGAGUGAGCCGAUGUCGGAUUAGCUAGUUGGCGGGGUAAAGGCCCACCAAGGCGACGAUCCGUAGCUGGUCUGAGAGGAUGAUCAGCCACAAUGGAACUGUGACACGGUCAAGACUCCUACGGGAGGCAGCAGUGGUGAAUAUUGGACAAUGGGCGCAAGCCUGAUCCAGCCAUACCGCGUGGGUGAAGAAGGCCUUCGGGUUGUAAAGCCCUUUUGUUGGGAAAGAAAUCCAGCUGGUUAAUACCCGGUUGGGAUGACGGUACCCAAAGAAUAAGCACCGGCUAACUUCGUGCCAGCAGCCGCCGCAG